UUUCUUUUCACUCCUUUUUGUUAAUAUAAAAAGUACUACAUGUUCCUCUUACUAAUUCCCAUAGGUUUUUACAUGUGGUGCUUUUCAUUUUCCAUUUCUUAGAUAAUCCAUACUUUCCUUUUUUAUUUCCUCUUUGCACCAGAAGAGUGUUUUAUGGUUUUGAGAUGAUAGUCUUUUUUAAAAAAUUUCCUGAUUUUGUUGUUAGUUGCUAGUUUUACUGCACUGUUGUUAGAGUUUUCUUGUGUGUAUGUAUAGAACACAGAGAACAGAGUACAAGGACACAUGGCAAAUUGUUUAUAUUGUUUACCUCAGAGAAGUGUAUUGUGAGGGAAAUGGGAGAGCUUAUCCACUUUUCUCUAUACUAUUUUAAGCUGUUUGAAUUGGUAAGGUGAGCCUUGAAUACUUCUCUCACUAAAGCAUACUGCAUUCAGAAUUGAUGCAUGGGUCUGCAUACUUGUGUAUCUGUCUUUCUGUCUACACACACACACACACACACACACACACCUAGAACGAAAUAUGUCAAAAUUUUAGGUGUUUACUUUGAGAAUGGGAUGAAGAAUUUAGGGACCAAUGAAAGGGACUUCCGUUAUGUCUUUUAUAUACUGUAUUUCUAUUUUUACAUUGACAACUUAAAAAAAAUCCUAGUCAAACUGUAAUGUGAGGUCAAAAUUUUGAAAUGUGUCUAUUUGUGGGAUCAAUAAAAAGGACAGAACUAAAAUGCUGGAUGAUACAUAAGAAGAAACAAGAAGGCCAAUCAGAAUUAAAGUGUUCCAAGGCAACUGGUUUAGCGAACGGGACAUUAACAAAUGUGGUGUAAGCAGAAACUUGCAAAGUGCUUAUGCGUUGGGGUUUGCCCUCUCUUGCUGCUUUUGGCACCCAGCCACUGUGACAAAGCUUACAUUUGCCUGCUAGAUGCUAGAAGCAUGUGACACAAGUUCCUCUCGUCACCCCAGCCAGGCAUCAGACCUGUGAGUGAGGCCACCUACCACGAAUCAGCACCCAGCCGACCUCCAGCUGACUGCAGACAGGUAGUUGGUGAAUUGGCUUCAGCCAUUCAGCCACGAGCCAUAUUGUAAGAAAUGGGAAAGCAACAACACGAAAGGAACCUUGUUCCUGGAAAACGUCAUGGAGCAAACGAAGUAUCCUUCCUACCCUUGACCACUCAGGACCACUAUGUGAGAGUAAAAUAAAACUCCACCUUGUUUAA